GGGACAAUACCCCCUAUGAUGACGGUACCGUUUGUAAGCUCCGGCUAACUCCGUGCCAGCAGCCGCGGUAAUACGGGGGGAGCAAGCGUUGUUCGGAUUUACUGGGCGUAAAGGGCGCGUAGGCGGCCANCACAAGUCAGUUGUGAAAUCUCCGNGCUUAACUCGGAAAGGUCAACUGAUACUGUGCGGCUAGAGUGCNGAAGGGGCAACUGGAAUUCUUGGUGUAGCGGUGAAAUGCGUAGAUAUCNAGAGGAACACCUGCGGCGAAGGCGGGUUGCUGGGCUGACACUGACGCUGAGGCGCGAAAGCUAGGGGAGCGAACGGGAUUAGAUACCCCGGUAGUCCUNGCCUUAAACGAUGAAUGCUUGGUGUCUGGGGUUAUAUAGUCCCCGGGUGCCGNCGCUAACGCUUUAAGCAUUCCGCCUGGGGAGUACGGUCGCAAGACUGAAACUCAAAGG
rnacentral:rRNA from 1 species